rnacentral:tRNA from 1 species
GCCUGGGUGGCUCAGUCGGUUAAGCAUCCGACUUUGGCUCAGGUCAUGAUCUCACAGUCCGUGAGUUCGAGCCCCACAUCAGGCU